AAAAAACUCAUGGGAUUUUGUAAACAUUGGAUUUUUAUUUCUUGAUUUCUUUAACAAUUUCUAAAGUUGAAUUAAAGUUUCUGAAUGCGAAUUCUAAAAUAUAUAUUGAUAUAACGAAGGUCCUCUGCCAUUUAAAUAUUUAAUAAGUACAGCUUCUAUACCGUGAUUUCAUGUCAAAUACUUUUUUGUAUAUAUCAAUCAAAGUCACAUACAUGUUAUUAAAGGGGCCUUUUCACAGAUUUUGGCAUGCUUUGAAGUUUGUCAUUAAAUGCUUUAUAUUGAUAAAUGUAAACAUUAAACUUAAAAGCUCCAUUGAAAAAUCAAAAAUAAAAUUUAAAAAGGAAAAAAAAGUAGCCAAAAGCAGGGCUCGAACCAGUGACCGCCGGAAUCCUGAAGUAAAAAUGCAUUAGCCAACUGAGCUAACCUGCCAAGCAUACAUAAACUGCUUAUUUUAUACCUUAUAUAAGCAAUUUUCGUAGUUUCACAAAUUGAAACGACAACAACAGAACUCUCCAAAUUAUUCAAUCGUUUCGCAUUGCAAUGCUUUAUAUUUUUUAGGUUUUUAAAUCAUCAAAAGAUGUAUAUAAUGGCUAUAUUGGACCAUGGAAAUGUUCAGUAAUACUGUUUCCUCACAAAUAUCAGUACUAAACCGCAAAUAUGCCAAUCUGAAACAUUUUUUUUCAAUUUUGUCAAUUUACCAAACCGUGAAAAGAUCCCUUUAAGAUCAAAUGACCCGCGUCAUGCAAAAAUGUGUCUUAAUGUUAUAUAUGACCAUUAUAGCUCAAUCUUAGCUGGCACAUUUGGGAGGUUAUUUUUUCAAACACGAUUAAAGACGUUAAAAUCGGGUAAAUUGUUUAUAUUGUUCAUCAUUUGAUAUUGUUUAUAUUGUUCAUCAUUUGAUAUAAUAUAGUAUUUUUGGACCUUUUUAUGCCUUUCUUUUAAAACGACAAAAUCAUGUAGGGUUUUUUAUUGCCAUAUAAAUAUGGAAUUUUGCUCUAUCAAUGAAAUUACAACCAAAUGAAAACAAAUACUUUUUUAAUGCUUUAAAUCGAUAACUUAGCAAAAACAAAUGAAUGCAUUCGUGCAAAUCAAAUGGAAUUUUAAUUUUUCCAUGCAAAAAGUGAGGUAAAAAUAUAAUGGGGAAAAAGAAAUUCCAUGAGAAAACGAAAAAUGUCACGCCAAAACCAACUUUGCUAAUGAAUUUUAUUGUGAAAAAAACAUGCAUAAUUUUAGAAAAAAUAAUGUUUUAUUACAAAUUAGACUUUUAUAGCACACUUUAUCUCAAAGAGGCAAAUCUAAAAGAAAAGGGUACUUCAGUUUGCGAAAUUUCCGUUUCACAAAGUUUUGGGGUGGCCACUGUAUAUUGGCGCAUGGUUAAAAUCGUGUUAGUUUUUUUUGUUCCCCUCUUCGAAGAAGAACGGGUAUAUUGUUUUGCUGGCUGUCUGUCUGUAGAACAGUCUGAAUGUCCAUAGACCAGUUUGUUUCCAAUCAAUAACUCGUCAACAAAUUGACUAAUUGUCUUGAAACUUCACAUUUGCAUUGACCUUAGACAGUUAAUUACCCCUAUUGAAAUUGGGGUCACUAGGUCAAAGGUCAAGGUCUUUAUCACACUUAGUGUGAAAAUCGUUUCCGAUCAAUAACUUGUCAAUAAAUUGACCGAUUGGCUUGAUACUUCACGUGUGCAUUGGGCUUGGACAGUUGAUGGCCCCUGUUGAAAUUGAGGUCACUAGGUCAAAGGUCAGGGUCACUAUCACACUUAGUGGCUUCAGUUCAAUAACUUAUCAACAAAUUUGCCGAUUGACUUGAUACUUCACAUGUGCAUUGGCCCUGGAAAGUAGAUGACCACUAUUAAAAUUGGGAUCACUAGGUCAAAGGUCACUGUCACAAUAAAUGUGAAAAUUCUUUCCGAUCAAUAACUCGUGAAAGAAUCGACCGAUUAGCUUUAUACUUCACAUGCGCAUAGGCCUUGGACAGUGAUGACCCCUAUUGCAAUUGGGAUCACUAGUUUAAAGUCCUGUUUUGAGGGGCAUAUGUCUCCGACCGCGGAACACUUGUUCAAGGCUUGUUUUAUCAGUUUAAAUGCUUGAUGUUAUGAUUAUUUAAGAAGAAAAAGUAUUCUUUAAAAAGUUUUUAAAAACACAACUUAUGUAUGAUAUGUUCUAUAUGAUAUUAUAAAACAUUUUUUUUAUCUGAAUUCUUUGUUUAGAAUUUGUUUUGUCAUGAUUUUGUUUUUUUGUUGCAACAGUUACAUAAAUAAAUGCAAUUAAACUAUAUUUUGAGUUUAAAGGCAUUCUCUCCUGAUUCUUUUUUCUUUAAUCUGAUAAUAUCAAACCAAACUUUUUUUGUAAAAGUGACCAAUAAAAAUGCCAUCAAAAUAAAUUAUUGGUUUAUAUCUCACCUGAUUGCUCCGGUGAGCUUUUGUGACCUGUCUUUGUCCGUCGUAUGUCCGUCCGUCCGUUAACAUUUGCUCGUAAACACUCUAUAGGCCACUUUUUUGUCCCAUCUUCAUGAAACUUGGUAAGAAGCUUUGUUCCAGUGAAAUCUUGGCCGAGUUCGAAACUGGGUUGUGCCGGGUCAAAAACUAGGUAACUAGGUAAAAAAAAAGACAAAACUUGUAAACACUGUAGAAGUCACAUUUUAUGUCCAAUCUUCAUGUAACUUUGUCAAAAUGUUUGUCUUAUUGAUAUCUUGGUUGAGUUGAAAUGUUUCCAAUCCGUUGAAAAACAUGGCCGCCAGUGGGCGGGGCAGUUUUCCUUAUUUGGCUAUAGAGAAACCUUGUAAACACUCUAGAAGUCACAAUUUUUGCCCAGUCAUCAUGAAAGUUGGUCAAAACAUUGGUUCAAUUGAUGUCUUGGACGAGUUCGAAAAUGGUCGAGAUCAGUGCAAAAACAUGGCCGCCAGUGGGCGGGGCAUUUUUCUCUAUAUGUAUAUAGUGAAAACGUGAACACUGUAGAAGUCACAUUUUUGGCCCAAUGUUCAUGAAAUUUGCUCAGAAAUUUGUUUCCUUGAUACGAGAGUUGAGUUCAAAAAUGGUUCCAGUCAGUUGAAUAACAUGGCUGCUGGUAGGGGGGCAGUUUUUUCAUUAUGCCCCCCCCCCCCUUUCGAAGAAGAGUGGGUAUAUUGUUUUGCUAAUGUCGGUCCGUCCGUCCACCAGAUGGUUUCCGGAUGAUAACUCAAGAGCGCUUAUGCCAAGGAUCAUGAAACUUCAUAGGUACAUUUAUCAUGACUCGCAGAUGACCCCUAUUGAUUUACAGGUCACUAGGUCAAAGGUCAAGGUCACGAUGACCCGAAAUAGUAAAAUAGUUUCCGGAUGAUAACUCAAGAACGCUUAUGCCUAGUAUCAUGAAACUUCAUAGAUACAUUGAUCAUGACUCGCAGAUGACCCCUAUUGAUUUUCAGGUCACUAGGUCAAAGGUCAAGGUCAAGGUGACCCAAAGCAGUAAAAUGGUUUCCGGAUGAUAACUCAAGAACGCUUAUGCCUAGGAUCAUGAUACUUCAUAGGUACAUUGAUCAUGACUCGAAGAUGACCCCUUUUGAUUUUCAGGUCACUAGGUCAAAGGUCAAGGUCACAGUGACCUGAAAUAGUAAAAUGGUUUCUGGAUGAUUACUCAAGAACGCUUAUGCCUAGGAUCAUGAAACUUCAUAGGUACAAUGAUCAUGACUUGCAGAUGACCCCUAUUGAUUAUCAUGUCACUAGGUCAAAGGUCAAGGUCACAGUGCCAUAAAACGUAUUCACACAAUGGCUGUCAAGGUCACGGUGACUCAACUUAGAAAAAUGGUUUCCGGAUGAUAACUCAAGAAUGCUUACGCCUAGCCUAGGAUUAUGAAACUUUAUAGGUACAUUGAUCAUGACUCGCAGAUGAAAUAAUGAUGAAACUUGACCAGGAUGUUUGUCUGGACAAUAUCUAGGUCAAGUUUGACAUUUGGUAAAGAUUGAAUGAACCGACUCCUCUCAGGUGAGCAAACUAGGGCCAUCUUGGCCCUCUUGUUAGACAUAUCAUUUUGAUUUUUUUGUUUGCUUAAUGUUUAUCAAGCAAAUUGUUUGAUUUAAAAAAUGAUUUUCUUGAUUAGUGAAAUGUGAUCUGUAAAAUGCGAACUAUACUAAUUAUAAUAAAAAUGUGUAAACAAUUGUAACUUUGUGUAAUUAAUUGUUUUAUUUGAUUUAUAUUAAAUUGUGUUUCCUUCA